rnacentral:rRNA from 1 species
UUUUGGACAAUGGGGGCAACCCUGAUCCAGCAAUGCCGCGUGAGUGAAGAAGGCCUUCGGGUUGUAAAGCUCUUUUGUCAGGGAAGAAACACCGGCUCUAACACAGUCCGGGAAUGACGGUACCUGAAGAAUAAGCACCGGCUAACUACGUGCCAGCAGCCGCGGUAAUACGUAGGGUGCAAGCGUUAAUCGGAAUUACUGGGCGUAAAGCGUGCGCAGGCGGUUAUACAAGACAGGCGUGAAAUCCCCGGGCUUAACCUGGGAAUGGCGCCUGUGACUGUAUAGCUAGAGUGUGUCAGAGGGGGGUAGAAUUCCACGUGUAGCAGUGAAAUGCGUAGAUAUGUGGAGGAAUACCAAGGCGAAGGCAGCCCCCUGGGAUAACACUGACGCUCAUGCACGAA